rnacentral:lncRNA from 1 species
AUGGGCGAAGAACAGAAAAACUGUAACACUACUUUUAUAAAUAAAAGUUAUGCGGAUACAAUUAAGUUGAAUAAAACUAAAUUAAAAAUAAGUAAAAAUGGUAAUUUAUUAAAUGAACACAACGAGUGUAACAACCCUCACAUUUUAUAUGAGAAAAGGUGUUUAGAAGGAAAUGAAAAAACAGAAAAAAAUGAAAGAGAAUCAAAAAAUUUAAAAGAAACAACUUUGUUUUAUUUACAUCAUAAUGCCAGUUAUCCGAAAAAAAAGAGUGCUCAAACUGUUACAACAAAAGAUUUUAUUUUACAAGAACAUAACAUGGAUGUUGAAAAUAACAUAAAAAAUAGUAAUGUACAAAAGAAAUAUUAUUACAGUGAUGUGAUUAAUAACGCAAAUGUAGUUAACAAUGCAUCAAUUUUAAACACUACUUUAAGUGGUAAUAGCACCUAUAGUGGAAAUAGCACAGGUAGUGGUAACACAGGCCCACUAAUUGAUAAUAGUAGUCCAGUGGCUAAUACCACUCCAGUUAUUAAUACUACUUACGACUACAUUGAUAAUAAUAAUUAUUCUACCUCCAGCACAAUUACCAGUGAUUGUCACAGUAAAAACAAAUAUGAACAUAACAACUUAUGUUACAAUACUCUAAAUAAAAGGAAACUAAAUUAUAUGCAACAAAACUUGUAUGCUGAAAAGAAAAAUGAAAGCAUGUUUCAACUAUCUUAUCCAACAUAUAAACAUUUUACUAAGCACGAUAACGAAAUCAAAAAAAAUAAAUAUGAAACAUACCCAUUAAAAGAAAGUGAUAUAAAAUUAAAUAUGAAUCAUUUUUUCGAUUUCAAAAAAAAAUUAAAAACAAUUGACAAAAUAAAAGAACCAGAUGUAGUUAAUAUGAAGAAAACAAUAUAUUAUAAUGAAUUAGUUAAUAAUGUGAAAACAUGUAACACAGGAUUUAGUAUUAAUAAUAAUACUUGCUCAAACAAUGAUAAUAAUAAUAAUAAUAAUAAUAAUGUGAAGAACUUAUUUAACAGUAUUAAUGUCGUAAACGAUUUAAAUUGUGCACAUACAUAUGAAAGCACCAUGAAAAAUUAUAAUAACGAACACAGACGUGUCAUAGAUAAUGAUAAUGUAUAUUAUGAAGGGCAAGAGAAAGAGGUUUUUGAAAACGUAAAUAGGUUAAAGUUUGUCGUAAGUAAUGUUAAUAACGGUGAUGCAUGUGGUAAUACGUGUGGAAAUGUAUGUGUUAAUACAUGUGACAGUGUAUGUGACAAUGCAUGUAGUAAUGCACGUGAUAAUAUAACUGACAAUAUUAUUAACAACAUCUAUGAUAAUAGCGAUGGCAAUGACUACAGCAAAAUUAGUAGCAACAAUAAUGACGAAAACAGUAAAAACGUUGCGAAAAAUUCCGAAGGUAAACACAUUGUGAACAACUGUGAAGGUAAAAAAAAUAAUAAAGUAAUAUAUCUGAACUCAUUGUAUGCACCGAAAAAAAAAAAAAAAUGA